rnacentral:rRNA from 1 species
UACGUAGGGAGCAAGCGUUUGUCCGGAUUUAUUGGGCGUAAAGAGCUCGUAGGCGGUUCCGUAAGUCAGGUGUGAAAAAAUCUGGGCUCAACCCAGUGGAGCACCUGAUACUGCGGUGACUCGAGUCCGGUAGGGGAGUGUGGGAAUUCCUGGUGUAGCGGUGAAAUGCGCAGAUAUCAGGAGGAACACCGACGGCGAAGGCAGCACUCUGGGCCGGUACUGACGCUGAGGCGCGAAAGCUAGGGGAGCAAACGGG